rnacentral:misc_RNA from 1 species
GAUGAAGAACGUAGCGAAAUGCGAUAAGUAGUGUGAAUUGCAGAAUUCAGUGAAUCAUCGAAUCUUUGAACGCACAUUGCGCCCCUUGGUAUUCCAUGGGGCAUGCCUGUUCGAGCGUCAUUUGUACCUUCAAGCUUUGCUUGGUGUUGGGUGACUGUCCGCUUCACGGCGGACUCGCCUCAAAAUUAUUGGCGGCCGGUACAUUGGCUUCGAGCGCAGCAGAAACGCGAACUCGGGCCCGUCGUAUUGGCUCCCAGAAGCUAUCUUCACAAUUUUGACCUCGGAUCAGGUAGGGAUACCCGCUGAACUUAAGCAUAUCAAUAAGCGGAGGA